AGGCAGCCCCCGGGCAGCCCUGUGGCAUCAGGAGGGAGGCAGCCCCCGGGCAGCCCUGUGGCAGCAGCAGGCAGGGAGGCAGCCCCCGGGCAGCCCUGUGGCAGCAGCAGGCAGGGAGGCAGCCCCCAGGCAGCCCUGUGGCAGCAUUUUGAUGCUCAAUUUGUACCAGAUUGAUUCCUGCCUUAUCACCCUUUGUGGUUUUUUUUUAACCCUGAGCUGAGCAUUUGCUGGUUGGGUUGGGGUUGGUUUUUUUUUUUUAUUAAAGAGCUGAUUUUUAUGGACCUAAAUUUAAUCCCAAAUCUACUUUCUGCUUAAAUUUUCUGUUUUUAAACCUCUCAAACCCCCCUCCCAAAGCUGCUUGCGUUUGGCCCAAGCAGUCAGAGCAAUACGAAGUACUACCUCAGUUGGACUUCUUUCUUCUUAGGGAGCUCUUUGGUCAGCCAGGUGUUGUCUCCAGAAAUGCCCUUGUGGGACAUACCCUAAAGCCAUUCUUUUUCAAGUGCCUUUUGUCCUCUGCUGAAAGACUUUGGGCUCUGACUCCCCCUCCAGAUGUAGGUUUUUAUAAGCACUGUUUAAAACUCACCAGCCAGACUCGAUCCUUUUUGGGUUAACCAGGACACUGUAGCUGUGUGUGUGUGUGAUUAGGAUGGGUUUGAGAACCCUCAGGUCUCUUAACCUUAGGUGAAUUAUGGUUAAAUGAAUUUUUUUUAUCCCCUUCCACUUUUUGUUGUUUUUUUAUGUGCUUUGUUUGGGUUUGUUUGGUUUUUUUUCCCCUCCCCCACCUGGAAAUCAAAGAGUAAAUCCCCAGAACAAUUCCUAGUUCAGGUUUGGGGAACUAUCACCAGACCAGGUUGUCACUUAGCAUUGCCAGAGUUUGCAGUUGAAUACCUCAACAAGAGCAAGGCUGUUUCUCAUCACACCUUUAAACUGCAGACAGACUGGGACAGAUGUGCCUACUUUUGCUGGUUUUAACUCUGACCCUUUGGGAAAUGAUCAUGUUAAUAUGGUAGGGAAAGAAAAGAAAGAAAGAAAAAAGGUUUUCUAGGGCUGUUUUUAUGCUGAAUUUGUCAAGGGUUGGGUUGGUUUUUUUUUUUUUGUACAAUGUGCAAGUUGAAGUUCUCAAAAUAAAUAUCUUUUCAGAUGAAAA